GUACCCCUGCAGUGUUUGUGAUUGUAUGAUGUCCUUUGUCCUAAUGCUACAGAACAGGGUAUCCACCCUGACACUGUUGUGCAAGUUCCACUUGAAUGGAAAAGCCUUAAGGUGUUAUUGGAAGCCCAUUUUUUUGAACCCUUGGUUCAAAGACUAAAGCAACACGGCAUCAUGUGGGGGUACU
rnacentral:other from 1 species